CUGCACCAGCAGCUCGCCCGGGCCGCGCGCCCUAGCCUCCGCUCGCCCCUUCGCGCGCUUCUCCCCCAUGGCGAGCUUGCCCUCAACUCUCUGUGCUUGGCUGCCUCCUCUGCCUCCGAUCCGCUGCGCCGUGGUGGGCUCGCCCAGCACCGCGCGUCGUCGUCCCCUGCUUGGCAUCCGACCUUAGUAGCUCGCCCUCCCCGCCUAGCAGCAAGCAGCUCCUUUCCCCUCGCCAUGAACGUCGUCGAUCCCCUCUGUAGUUCCUCCACGUGGUAUGGUCGUCGACCGCGCACGUCACCUGCUCGUGGUUAUGGGAAACCAGCGAGCCUCUAUUCACGACGUAGUUUCCUCGCGUCAUUGUUCAGCCCGUGGAGGUAAAUCCUGUGAGAUUUAGAUGAGAAGAAAGCUUUAGCGAGGCGCUUGCCAAGGGCUUGGUGAAUCGCCUCAACCAGAUGUGGUUGUCGAUCUCGCGGAGUCGAGUCGAGUUUAGUCGUGGUAAGUCGAUCCAUUGUUUUUGUUAGUCGGAUGAAUGAUUAGUUGUGUGGAUAUAUAAGGCUUGUGCUAUUAAAUUGAUUUGUGUUGUGUGAAUGAAAUUAUUUUCAUGAGUAUGUAUGUCUUGUAUUAUGAAACUAAUUAGAGAUACGCAUGAUGCUUGUAGGUGGAUUAUGCCUAGAGUAUUUUGGUAAAGGUAUUUAUCAAGUAUAGAUGAUUUGGGUAGUGUAUAUGAAUUGAGUGGUCGAG
rnacentral:misc_RNA from 1 species